CAAUGCCAUCUCGUUUUUAAACAUUAAUGUAAUUUGCCUUUUAAUAGUACUUAAAAAAUUUUUUUCUUACCAGAAUUGGCUCUGAAGACACAGUUGAGUAGAGUGAUUAAAAAAAUCAGAGAGGUAAUAAUAUAUUCAUUACCCCUGUUACUUGGCUUAAA